UUGGGCGGUCUUUGGGGGAAAGGCGGAGUUUGUCGAUGUGUUGCUCGAAGCUGGUGCUGAAAUCAAACAGUGAGAAAGUCUUCUUUUUAGGCUUAAAGCUUUAAGAAUAUGCUUUUGAAGCAUAAAACGCAGACUGCAAAAUAAUAGCAGACCUGACUUGAUUGAACUUAUUAAAUGUAAAAUAUUCCUGACACGCCUAGCAAUAGUUUAAAAAAGAACAAAGGCUAGAAUCAUACAGUAGAACUGAAUGGACUCUUUGAUGCAUAAUGACCAAUCUCUGUGAUAAUUUAGUUACACCUUUCGUUGGCAAUUAUCUAUAUUUGAUCACAUUAUUUGCAACAAAAACUAUAUACCUCAUUAACAAUAAAAUAAAAAAUCUUACCACAGAAAAUAAUGAGGUUAUACACUCAUUUCCGCCAUAUAUAUACAUACUUAUUUGACAGAGAUAACGACGGAAAUACUGCACUACAUUAUGCAGUACAACAAGAAGCCUUUGAUAUAUUCAAACGUCUUAUGCCACGGGAGAUAUUUGCAAACGAGCGGUGGACGAGCGGUGAACAAUUAGAUGCGGUUACAUUAGUAAACACAAAAGGCUUCAACGUUUUAGACCUUGCAUUGGAGUCCAUGAACAGGCAAAUAGUUGAGUAUAUAAUUCUGGAAACCAGUCUCCGUCGCUUGAUGAAACUGCUUCGGAACAACACUGGAAAGACAAACAGUUCACCUUUUCGAGGACUUAUUAAGAAGAUGCCAGGUAUUUGCUAAUUUUCCUGUGCCAUACAUUUCUAGAAGAGGUUCUACGGGUCUUUACUGGUUAGAAACUAGUAUCUGGACUACAUAUAAUUACCGCUUUAUUUGAGCGUUAAUCACGCAUUUGUUUCAUCUGGAUCAUUUGGAUAAAAAGGCAGCACAGUAGUAUUAACCUUUCGCGGUAUCAAGUGGAGAAGAAAUAAUUAAACUGCAUUCUGAUUUUUCUGCUGAUAACAUGUGUUAGUUUUAAUUUCUCGGAAAUAGUUUUAUAUAAUGUAGGGCUUUCGAUUGUCUAUAUUAUUUGAAUUAUGAAGAAUUCGUGUUAGACUAAAUUCAAGAUUUUAAGCGUUUACCUCUCUUUGCUUUCGUAACUGCUGUUGAAAGUCAGGUUAUUUUUCAUGUCCAUUGUUCGAGAGUUUAAUGAUAAAUGGAUGGAAUGUGUACAAAUAGUUUAGCUAUUUAUUUCAAAACCGUCCGCUUAGUUUCAUGGGGAGAGUGCCGAUCUACGAAUCACGGGGUCUUGAGUUCAAUCCUCGCGCGGGCCGUAUGUACUUAAUACAAAGACGAUUAUAUGAGGAUUUGAUAGAAAACAUUAUGUCUGAAAUCAUUCGUCCUCCACCUCUGAUUCAAAUGGGAAAGCUCGCAGUUACUUAUGGAGAACAGGUUUGUAUUUUUCAAAAAAUCAAAGAACACUGAUUAACUUAAUUUCCCGCCAAAACAUAAAAGUACAGUAAUACUGUUGUAAAACGGCCUUAAUCCUAAAACAAACAAACUUAUUUAGAUAUUGAAAUAACAUCAAACAACCAUCGAUAUAUUUGUCCGGCUACUGUUUAGCUUACGGGUAAACUAACUUCAUUUUUUGACCCCAUUUGAUGCCCAAUGGAACCCAUAUCUUAUGUCAGUAAGAUGCUGAUGACAAUAUCGGAUGCAGAAGGAACUGAAUUGUGGAGGCAGUGUGAAAUCAACAUUUCCAAGGUACGCCACGGCAGAUUGUCUGCCAUUGUGAUGUAAGCAUUUUUAAAGACAUGUCCCAGAACAGAUUAUUUAACAAAGCUAGAUAAAUAUAUCUAAUAAGGUAAUAAUAUCUACUUUAAAACAUGCUAUACAAAUAUUCUUUUCAUACAAGUAACAAAGGUAAGACCGAUUUUUAAUUGGUACAUUUAACGUAGAACACACGUCUAUCGUCAAUUACUAUUAUAGCAAAAUAUAUUGUUAUACGUUUUAUUAAUACUUAAAAAAAUAUGUAAAUGAAUUUCUGUCUACAUUAUUUCGUGAGGACUGAAGUGCAACUUAAUGCAACGUUUGUUUUUCUGUACUUACUGUUUGUAUAUUCUAUUCACCUAUAACAAAACAUGCAUAUGUUCUUACUUGUACUUUCUUUGCCUUAGAUAUUGCAAAGGAAGUAAUGGAUAGAUGUAUUACAAGGAGUUGGAAUUGGAUAAGUUUCAAUUAUGAAUUCUUGGACGACACUUUUUGUCUGAUAAACUGGCCACAGGAUUCAGGCAUGGUAUGUGCAUACACAACUAGCAUGAUGAAGAUAAAAGAAAAUCACCCUCUAAAGCUUAUGGUAUUGCCUUUAGUUUUUUAAUAGAAAUAUUUAUUUCAUGUGAUACUGAGCUAACUAGCAUUGCCG
rnacentral:lncRNA from 1 species